rnacentral:rRNA from 1 species
UACGUAGGGGGCGAGCGUUGUCCGAAGUUACUGGGCGUAAAGCGCGCGUAGGCGGGGGAUUAAGUGAGAGGUGAAAGGCUGGGGCUCAACCUCAUGCAGUGCCUCUCAUACUGGUUCUCUUGAGGGCGGUAGGGAGAAGUGGAAUUCCUGGUGUAGCGGUGAAAUGCGCAGAUAUCAGGAGGAACACCAGCGGCGAAGGCGGCGCUCUGGGCCGGUACUGACACUGAGGAGCGAAAGCGUGGGUAGCAAACAGG